rnacentral:rRNA from 1 species
GAUGAACGCUGGCGGCGCGCCUAACACAUGCAAGUCGAACGAUUAAGGCACCUUCGGGUGUGUAUAAAGUGGCGAACGGCUGAGUAACACGUGGGCAACCUGCCCCUUUCAUUGGGAUAGCCACGGGAAACCGUGGAUAAUACCGAAUACUUCGAGACUUCCGCAUGGAAGACUCGAGAAAGCUCCGGCGGAGAGGGAUGGGCCCGCGGCCUGUUAGCUUGUUGGUGGGGUAACGGCCUACCAAGGCAAUGAUGGGUAGCUGGGUUGAGAGACCGACCAGCCAGAUUGGGACUGAGACACGGCCCAGACUCCUACGGGAGGCAGCAGUGGGGAAUCUUGCACAAUGGGCGAAAGCCUGAUGCAGCGACGCCGCGUGCGGGAUGAAGGCCUUCGGGUUGUAAACCGCCCUCAGCAGGGACGAGGCGAAAGUGACGGUACCUGCAGAAGAAGCCCCGGCUAACUACGUG